UACGAAGGGGGCUAGCGUUGCUCGGAAUCACUGGGCGUAAAGGGUGCGUAGGUGGUGGGGUAAGUCUGAUGUGAAAUCUCUGAGCUCAACUCAGAAAUUGCAUUAGAAACUACCUUGCUAGAGGAUUGGAGGGGGGACUGGAAUUCUCGGUGUAGCAGUGAAAUGCGUAGAUAUCGAGAGGAACACCAGUGGCGAAGGCGAGUCCCUGGACAAUACCUGACACUGAGGCACGAAAGCUAGGGGAGCAAACAGG
rnacentral:rRNA from 1 species